rnacentral:tRNA from 1 species
UAUUAUUACUUUGGCAGAUUAGUGUAAUAAAUUUAGAAUUUAUAAAUGUAGUUAUUUUACAAGUAAUA